ensembl:lncRNA
CAGGCUUCUAUGGCACUAGUAGGCCUUCUCCAGGUUCAGAUAAGUGGGGGAUGGUGCCCAAGGCUGGUACUCUGGUCAAGCCUCACCUGGGAACUGUUCUAAGCACUUUGACCUUGGGUUAUGGUCCUACUACAAUUCCCUUGAAGAGCUCACAGUGACAGGUAGAGAAGAGUCUGCGCCUCGAUCAGAUAACCAUUUCCUCUUCUAAGUGUUAAUAUGUGGUCUCAAAGAGGCUUUAACUAGGACUGGCCUCUGUCCAAACCCAUGAGAAGAAUCAAAUUCUAACAUGGACUUGGGGGAAAGCUACCAGUGGUUGCAGCAAGUAUGAAUAGUAAAAAUUUACACUUGCCUUCACACAAGGAAGCAAGAAUACUAAAUUCCAAUCUAUGUUAUAUCAUUGUACCAGCUAUGUGACUUUGGACACUUAGUCUUCAUGUAACAUCACUGUAAGAAAAUGUUUCUAUGGAUGACAAAGAUUGAAUGAGUCACUCCACAUAGAAGAUGAGUGGACUCCUUAAUUGCUGCUCACAGGCCAGAAAUAAACAUCAUCCCAACACAGUUUUUGACUUGCAAUAGACCCUCCACAUCUCUAGGUCUCCAGUGUUCAUCCGUGUAAUGAGAUCUUGAGCUAUGUGAUUUCUCGGGACUCUUCUGGGCUUGAUAUUCCAGGAUUCUAGCAAACUUAUUACAGCUGAAGUCAUGAAGGAAAUAAUGUGCAGUGUACACUAUGUGUGCAAACAGCAACAAAGUAGGCAUUGGGCAACGGAAGCCAAUGUGCCUGAAAUUCCUAGAGCCCCAGGGUUUAGCAGGGUAAAUACUGUCAUGCUUGUGUUUACCCUGAGCUGCAAACAGAUCAGAACAAAGUGUAAGGUACAAGAAUUCUCAACACAAUUAUGUGUUUCCCAAUAUGGGUUGGUAAUCUGUGGUGUUAUUUUACUUUCUAACAAAGAAUUCAUCUUGCUUGUCCUCUGGGAACACGGUAUCUUCCUAGGGAAAAAGUCUGCUCUCAGAGAGAAGAGUACUGGUGUUGUAAUGGAGCGGACAAUAUUUAAGCACCUGACCUGGCGAUCUAGAUACAGCCUGUUUCUUCUAUUUGCAAAGCUGAAAGCUCAAGAUAAAACUACCACUGAAUUUCUCAAACCGGUCCUUGUCCCUUGGGCCUCUGUGCCGCACUCCGGAGAUUAUCAGGGCAAGAUAUUCUCCAUAUGUUGGACAUUUUGUCUCAGCAAUGAGAAAAGUAACUGAGACAGAGCCACUCACUAUACCAUCUUGGAAAACCCUGAUUCCCACCUCCGCAUGUCACUGGGUCUGGUCAGCGCUCCCAGGGUACCGUUAGAAAAGCCUUUGAAGACGGAGCUGUUUCAUUCUCCAAGAGGGUGGAGCUUCCUGCUCUGAGUACUUGGAACUUGACCUGUUCCAAAGCUCUGCCAUACAGGCCUUCAGUACUGCAGAUCUGAGACAUAAAGACUACAUAUCACAGAAGGGCAGCUGUCUGUUUAUUAUUCUAACAUCACUUUUGUAAGGAUUAUAAACAUGCAUAAUUGGAACAGAAUUAUCACAAGUAAAUGUUAUUGCUAUGGACUGAAAACACAACACAAACAAAAGCAAUUCCAUUUGUGGGCGGAAAUGAUAAUAUAAGGCUAUAUAAUUUUUGUGUGCUGCAGUAAUUGUAGAAUGCAAAGAUAACAAAUACAACAUUACAGGUGGGCAUGAGAAUUGGGCAGAACAAAAAGUGAGUCAUAACUGUGAAGCCUCGCUUCCCACUUUGCCUACACAGAGACUGAAAGCAAGUGUCAGAAGUCAGUGCAUCUCACAUUGCAAAGUGCCUGUGACUCCCCCGGGAUCUUGCUAAAAUGCAGAUUCGGGCUCAGGGGGUCUAAGGCCAGCCUAAGAUUACACACUUCACAUGCUCUCUGGUGACACCACUGGUGCUGGCCCCUGGGCUACAGGUGGAGAAGCAAAGGACAGAGCAAGGCUCAAGCCAAAUCCUCAUUGGGCCAGGCCAGGGAGGCAGCCCAGUGCCUGAUGGGAAAGGCUCAGUUGUGUCCAGUCCCUGGGGCCAAGGAAAUCAAGGCCACAAUAAAGAUGACAGCAGGAGCUCAGAGCUGAGAUGCCAGGGCCCCAUGGCUAGCACCUCCCUCCCCUUAGGGAGCUCUGGAGCACAGGGGCCUGAGUCUGGGGUGGAGCUGGAAGUAACAGCUCCACCCUUGAUGGGAGGCCUUGGCAGAGACUCCAGCCAAGGUGCCCCCACCCGGGCAGCAGCGGAGCCAGCCAAGGCCCCGUGCAACUGGCCGAUCCCCGGGGGCUCUUAGAUUUCUCCUGAGGGCCAGGCCCCUUCUGCUUGGCCCACAGCAGCUGCUAAGCUUCUGGGAGUCCUGGGGUCAGGCAGGGAAGUCCUGGGAUCAGAGAGGGGCGAGGGGAG